rnacentral:rRNA from 1 species
GACGUAGGGCGCGAGCGUUGUCCGGAUUUAUUGGGCGUAAAGAGCUCGUAGGCGGCUUGUCGCGUCGACUGUGAAAUCCCGCGGCUCAACUGCGGGUCUGCAGUCGAUACGGGCAGGCUAGAGUUCGGUAGGGAGACUGGAAUUCCCGGUGUAGCGGUGAAAUGCGCAGAUAUCGGGAAGAACACCCGUGGCUAAGGCGGCUCUCUAGUACGGUACUGACGCUGAGACGCGAAAGCGUGGGGAGCGAACAGG